rnacentral:rRNA from 1 species
UACGUAGGGUGCAAGCGUUAAUCGGAAUUACUGGGCGUAAAGCGUGCGCAGGCGGUUUUGUAAGUCUGUCGUGAAAGCCCCGGGCUCAACCUGGGAAUUGCGAUGGAGACUGCAAGGCUUGAAUCUGGCAGAGGGGGGUAGAAUUCCACGUGUAGCAGUGAAAUGCGUAGAGAUGUGGAGGAACACCGAUGGCGAAGGCAGCCCCCUGGGUCAAGAUUGACGCUAAUGCACGAAAGCGUGGGGAGCAAACAGG